rnacentral:rRNA from 1 species
GGGUUGUGAGGUUAAGCGACUAAGCGUACACGGUGGAUGCCCUGGCAGUCAGAGGCGAUGAAGGACGUGCUAAUCUGCGAUAAGCGCCGGUAAGGUGAUAUGAACCGUUAUAACCGGCGAUUUCCGAAUGGGGAAACCCAGUGUGACUCGUCACACUAUCAUUAACUGAAUCCAUAGGUUAAUGAGGCGAACCGGGGGAACUGAAACAUCUAAGUACCCCGAGGAAAAGAAAUCAACCGAGAUUCCCCCAGUAGCGGCGAGCGAACGGGGAGGAGCCCAGAGCCUGAAUCAGCAUGUGUGUUAGUGGAAGCGUCUGGAAAGGCGCGCGAUACAGGGUGACAGCCCCGUACACAAAAGCGCAUGUGCUGUGAGCUCGAUGAGUAGGGCGGGACACGUGGUAUCCUGUCUGAAUAUGGGGGGACCAUCCUCCAAGGCUAAAUACUCCUGACUGACCGAUAGUGAACCAGUACCGUGAGGGAAAGGCGAAAAGAACCCCGGCGAGGGGAGUGAAAAAGAACCUGAAACCGUGUACGUACAAGCAGUGGGAGCACAGGUUUACCUGUGUGACUGCGUACCUUUUGUAUAAUGGGUCAGCGACUUAUAUUCUGUAGCAAGGUUAACCGUAUAGGGGAGCCGUAGGGAAACCGAGUCUUAAUUGGGCGUUAAGUUGCAGGGUAUAGACCCGAAACCCGGUGAUCUAGCCAUGGGCAGGUUGAAGGUUGGGUAACACUAACUGGAGGACCGAACCGACUAAUGUUGAAAAAUUAGCGGAUGACCUGUGGCUGGGGGUGAAAGGCCAAUCAAACCGGGAGAUAGCUGGUUCUCCCCGAAAGCUAUUUAGGUAGCGCCUCGUGAAUUCAUCUCCGGGGGUAGAGCACUGUUUCGGCUAGGGGGCCAUCCCGGCUUACCAACCCGAUGCAAACUGCGAAUACCGGAGAAUGUUAUCACGGGAGACACACGGCGGGUGCUAACGUCCGUCGUGAAGAGGGAAACAACCCAGACCGCCAGCUAAGGUCCCAAAGUCAUGGUUAAGUGGGAAACGAUGUGGGAAGGCCCAGACAGCCAGGAUGUUGGCUUAGAAGCAGCCAUCAUUUAAAGAAAGCGUAAUAGCUCACUGGUCGAGUCGGCCUGCGCGGAAGAUGUAACGGGGCUAAACCAUGCACCGAAGCUGCGGCAGCGAACGUAUCACCCAAGACAACUUUACGGAGUUGACGAUUGACGGAGCGAAGCGACGUCAAAGCGUUCAUUAAAGUCGAGUUGGCUUAGGGAUACGUUCGUUGGGUAGGGGAGCGUUCUGUAAGCCUGUGAAGGUGUGUCGUGAGGCAUGCUGGAGGUAUCAGAAGUGCGAAUGCUGACAUAAGUAACGAUAAAGCGGGUGAAAAGCCCGCUCGCCGGAAGACCAAGGGUUCCUGUCCAACGUUAAUCGGGGCAGGGUGAGUCGACCCCUAAGGCGAGGCCGAAAGGCGUAGUCGAUGGGAAACGGGUUAAUAUUCCCGUACUUGGUGUUACUGCGAAGGGGGGACGGAGAAGGCUAUGUUGGCCGGGCGACGGUUGUCCCGGUUUAAGCGUGUAGGCUGGUUUUCCAGGCAAAUCCGGAAAAUCAAGGCUGAGGCGUGACGACGAGGCACUACGGUGCUGAAGCAACAAAUGCCCUGCUUCCAGGAAAAGCCUCUAAGCAUCAGGUAACAUCAAAUCGUACCCCAAACCGACACAGGUGGUCAGGUAGAGAAUACCAAGGCGCUUGAGAGAACUCGGGUGAAGGAACUAGGCAAAAUGGUGCCGUAACUUCGGGAGAAGGCACGCUGACAUGUAGGUGAAGUGAUUUACUCAUGGAGCUGAAGUCAGUCGAAGAUACCAGCUGGCUGCAACUGUUUAUUAAAAACACAGCACUGUGCAAACACGAAAGUGGACGUAUACGGUGUGACGCCUGCCCGGUGCCGGAAGGUUAAUUGAUGGGGUCAGCGCAAGCGAAGCUCCUGAUCGAAGCCCCGGUAAACGGCGGCCGUAACUAUAACGGUCCUAAGGUAGCGAAAUUCCUUGUCGGGUAAGUUCCGACCUGCACGAAUGGCGUAAUGAUGGCCAGGCUGUCUCCACCCGAGACUCAGUGAAAUUGAACUCGCUGUGAAGAUGCAGUGUACCCGCGGCAAGACGGAAAGACCCCGUGAACCUUUACUAUAGCUUGACACUGAACAUUGAGCCUUGAUGUGUAGGAUAGGUGGGAGGCUUUGAAGCGUGGACGCCAGUCUGCGUGGAGCCGACCUUGAAAUACCACCCUUUAAUGUUUGAUGUUCUAACGUGGACCCGUAAUCCGGGUUGCGGACAGUGUCUGGUGGGUAGUUUGACUGGGGCGGUCUCCUCCUAAAGAGUAACGGAGGAGCACGAAGGUUGGCUAAUCCUGGUCGGACAUCAGGAGGUUAGUGCAAUGGCAUAAGCCAGCUUGACUGCGAGCGUGACGGCGCGAGCAGGUGCGAAAGCAGGUCAUAGUGAUCCGGUGGUUCUGAAUGGAAGGGCCAUCGCUCAACGGAUAAAAGGUACUCCGGGGAUAACAGGCUGAUACCGCCCAAGAGUUCAUAUCGACGGCGGUGUUUGGCACCUCGAUGUCGGCUCAUCACAUCCUGGGGCUGAAGUAGGUCCCAAGGGUAUGGCUGUUCGCCAUUUAAAGUGGUACGCGAGCUGGGUUUAGAACGUCGUGAGACAGUUCGGUCCCUAUCUGCCGUGGGCGCUGGAGAACUGAGGGGGGCUGCUCCUAGUACGAGAGGACCGGAGUGGACGCAUCACUGGUGUUCGGGUUGUCAUGCCAAUGGCACUGCCCGGUAGCUAAAUGCGGAAGAGAUAAGUGCUGAAAGCAUCUAAGCACGAAACUUGCCCCGAGAUGAGUUCUCCCUGAGACUUUAGGUCUCCUGAAGGAACGUUGAAGACGACGACGUUGAUAGGCCGGGUGUGUAAGCGCAGCGAUGCGUUGAGCUAACCGGUACUAAUGAACCGUGAGGCUUAACCUUACAACGCCGAAG